rnacentral:rRNA from 1 species
GAUGAACGCUGGCGGCGUGCUUAACACAUGCAGGUCGAACGGAAAGGCCCAAGCUUGCUUGGGUACUCGAGUGGCGAACGGGUGAGUAACACGUGGGUGAUCUGCCCUGCACUUCGGGAUAAGCCUGGGAAACUGGGUCUAAUACCGGAUAGGACCACUUCUUGGAUGUUGUGGUGGAAAGUUUUUUGGGUGUGGGAUGAGCUCGCGGCCUAUCAGCUUGUUGGUGGGGUAAUGGCCUACCAAGGCGUCGACGGGUAGCCGGCCUGAGAGAGUGUACGGCGACAUUGGGACUGAGAGGCGGCCCAGACUCCUACGGGAGGCAGCAGUGGGGAAUAUUGCACAAUGGGCGCAAGCCUGAUGCAGCGACGCCGCGUGGGGGAUGACGGCCUUGGGGUUGUAAACACCUUUCGCUAGGGACGAAGCGUUUUGUGACGGUACCUGGAGAAGAAGCACCGGCUAACUACGUG